GGCAUGCGAAUUUCCACAUCAGAGCAGAACACAACAAUUUUCCAGAAUUACUUCCUAACUUUUAAAGAAGAUGUCAUGUGGCUAAUGAUAUCGGAUCAGGGUGUAUUAUAGCUCAUUGGAAAGCUAGUCGAACCAUCUUCAGCUCUUAUGAAGGUAUCAAACAUAGAAAACCACACCAACCAGCUCGUAUCAGGUCAUUUGCACAA
rnacentral:lncRNA from 1 species